GCAUGUGUUUCGAAAAUUCGUGAUAGC
rnacentral:sRNA from 1 species